ACGGAGGGAGCUAGCGUUGUUCGGAAUUACUGGGCGUAAAGCGUACGUAGGCGGUUAUUCAAGUCAGAGGUGAAAGCCCGGGGCUCAACCCCGGAACGGCCUUUGAAACUAGAUAGCUAGAGUCUUGGAGAGGUCAGUGGAAUUCCGAGUGUAGAGGUGAAAUUCGUAGAUAUUCGGAAGAACACCAGUGGCGAAGGCGACUGACUGGACAAGUACUGACGCUGAGGUACGAAAGCGUGGGGAGCAAACAGGAUUAGAUACCCUGGUAGUCCACGCCGUAAACGAUGAUAACUAGCUGUCCGGGUACUUGGUAUCUGGGUGGCGCAGCUAACGCAUUAAGUUAUCCGCCUGGGGAGUACGGUCGCAAGAUUA
rnacentral:rRNA from 1 species